rnacentral:rRNA from 1 species
CAGAGGGUGCAAGCGUUGUUCGGAAUUAUUGGGCGUAAAGCGCGUGUAGGCGGCUUUGCAAGUCGGGUGUGAAAGCCCUCAGCUCAACUGAGGAAGUGCGCCCGAAACUGCAGAGCUUGAGUGCCGGAGAGGGUGGCGGAAUUCCCCAAGUAGAGGUGAAAUUCGUAGAUAUGGGGAGGAACACCGGUGGCGAAGGCGGCCACCUGGACGGUAACUGACGCUGAGACGCGAAAGCGUGGGUAGCAAACAGGAUUAGAUACCCUGGUAGUCCACGCCGUAAACGAUGAGAACUAGGUGUCGUGGGAGUUGACCCCCGCGGUGCCGAAGCUAACGCAUUAAGUUCUCCGCCUGGGAAGUACGGUCGCAAGACUAA